rnacentral:rRNA from 1 species
GACGAACCGUCCAAACGAUAUUCGGAAUCACUGGGCUUAAAGGGUGCGUAGGCGGAGAGGCAAGUCAGAGGUGAAAGCCCACGGCUCAACCGUGGAAGUGCCCCUGAAACGGCCUCUCUCGAGGGAGAUAGGGGCGUGCGGAACUCAGAGUGGAGCGGUGAAAUGCGUAGAUAUUCUGAGGAACACCGGUGGCGAAAGCGGCACGCUGGAACUUUUCUGACGCUGAGGCACGAAAGCUAGGGGAGCAAACGGG